rnacentral:lncRNA from 1 species
UGAGAUUAUAGAUUAUAAUCAUAGAUUAUAUUUGGCCCUCAAUAUAAUGUUGAAUGUACUAACAGAAGAUACAGAAGGAGAAAACCCAAAGACACAUGGGAUAAGGCCAGGUGAAAAUUAAAGCAGAGAUUGGAGUGCUGCAUGGAGGAACCAAGGAAGGUCAAGGAUUGCCUGCUGCGGCCACCAUUCACUAGGAGAUAAGGCACGGAAUGGGUCUCCAUCAGAGCCUCUAGGAAAAACUCUGCUGACACCGUGAUUUUGGACUUCUGACUGUGAAAAAUUGUAUUUGUCAUUUUAAGACACUGAGUUUAUGGUGGUUUGUUAUGGAAGCUUCAGGAAGCUAAUAUAAGAGUCUUAAUGCUUCUUAGAAACUAAAAAAGAAGAAAAUAAAAGUAUGUAUGACUGACAAGUCAUUAGGGUAAAGAAUUAGUCAUAGCCUUGUAUAUCCAGUGCCUUCUAGGCCAGUGAGAAGAUUUUCUUCAGAAAUAUGAUAUGAUCAAAUUUGUCUUUUUGAAGGAUCUUUGCUGAGAGCCACAGCCGAGUCAGAAUGGCCCCUGGCGUUUUGCCAAUAGUAUUGGUUGAUAGGCAAGCCAUUAAGAUGAUGCUGGAUUGAUUCGGUUGUAUAUUAGACCUUUACUGUCCACCUCAGCCUGCUACUUUGGUGUUCUCGCGCUACUUUGGAGUUCUCGUGGGGAUUCCCAGAGAGUUCCCAUUGGUUGGGGAAGUGCGGGAGGAGGGAUUUCCGGAAGAGGGAUUUCCGGUUGUUGGUUCCUGGAGGAGCCGCGUGGCAUUCGGGAGAGUUCCCAGGGAGCGUGUGUGGAGUGUGCUGGUGGAGUUCAGAAAUAAAAUUUGUUCCUGCUUCAGUGGCUCAUGAUUUGUGCCCAGCCAGACUGUGGCAUUUGGUGGCCCGUUCGGGGAAUGCCUGAAGCUCAGAGGGAGAACAGCAGCAGAUUUGGAUUCCAGAGAGACUAACCAAAGCGAUUUCUACAGACCAAAAAGAAGAUAUUUGACUCAAAUCCAUAACAGCUGAUAUCCAGAGCUCCAGCUUGGCUAUUCUUACAUCUGCAACAGUGGUUCUCCCACACCUGGAGGCUAAUGAAUAAUGAACACCAUUAAGGCCUAUUUCAAAUGCAAAAAACCUUGAGGCUUGCUUGUGGGAAUACCUUCAGACCUAUAUGCAAGUUUAAAAAAAAAAAAAGGAUGGGAUAUCCAAAAAAGAGUCAAACCCAGGUGGUAAGCAGGAUGUCUUUUUUUCAAUAUCUAUUUUAUUAUUGCCUUUUCCCAAAUCAUAAAGUUUUAUUUUGUUUUUUGAGCUCAUACAGACCUAGGUUAAUGUUUUUCUGAUCAGUUUCAUUUUUUGACUGUGGAGUUUUUAAACAUUGCAAUGGAGAUUUCACCUGUGUAAAGCUACAAGGCCUUUACUAUUGUCUUAUGAGUUGUAUGUUAUGUGUGCACACUUGUGUUUUGUGUUGUAUGUCUGUAUGUGUGUAUGUCCAUAUAUUAUAUAGGAGGAACACUCAUGAAAAAAUGGAUCCGAAUUUUUUUUUAUUCACGUGAUUUAAAUGGUUUAAUUUAAAUUGGGUAAACAGCUGUUGAGGAUUGU